rnacentral:rRNA from 1 species
UACGUAGGUGGCAAGCGUUGUUCGGAAUUAUUGGGCGUAAAGGGCGCGUAGGCGGUUUGUUAAGUCGGCUGUGAAAGCCUGGGGCUCAACCCCAGAGGGUCGGCCGAUACUGGCAAACUAGAGUACGGAAGAGGUAGCUGGAAUUCCCGGUGUAGCGGUGAAAUGCGUAGAUAUCAGGAAGAACACCCGUGGCGAAGGCAGCUCUCUGGGACGGUACUGACGCUGAGACGCGAAAGCGUGGGGAGCGAACAGG